AGAGUUUGAUCCUGGCUCAGGACGAACGCUUGCGGCGUGCUUAACACAUGCAAGUCGAACGAAGCUUGAUUACGGAUUCUUCGGAUGAAGUAUGAUAUGACUGAGUGGCGGACGGGUGAGUAACGCGUGAGUAACCUGCCCUUCAGAGGGGGAUAGCGUUUGGAAACGAACGGUAAUACCGCAUAAUGUAUUUUGACCGCAUGAUCGAAAUACCAAAGAUUUAUCGCUGAAGGAUGGACUCGCGUCUGAUUAGGUAGUUGGUGGGGUAACGGCCUACCAAGCCGACGAUCAGUAGCCGGACUGAGAGGUUGAUCGGCCACAUUGGGACUGAGACACGGCCCAGACUCCUACGGGAGGCAGCAGUGGGGAAUAUUGCACAAUGGGCGCAAGCCUGAUGCAGCAACGCCGCGUGAAGGAAGACGGUUUUCGGAUUGUAAACUUCUGUUCUUAGUGAAGAAUAAUGACGGUAGCUAAGGAGCAAGCCACGGCUAACUACGUGCCAGCAGCCGCGGUAAUACGUAGGUGGCAAGCGUUGUCCGGAAUUACUGGGUGUAAAGGGAGCGCAGGCGGGUGAUCAAGUCAGCUGUGAAAACUACGGGCUUAACCCGUAGACUGCAGUUGAAACUGUUCAUCUUGAGUGAAGUAGAGGUUGGCGGAAUUCCGAGUGUAGCGGUGAAAUGCGUAGAUAUUCGGAGGAACACCGGUGGCGAAGGCGGCCAACUGGGCUUUAACUGACGCUGAGGCUCGAAAGUGUGGGGAGCAAACAGGAUUAGAUACCCUGGUAGUCCACACUGUAAACGAUGAUAAAGGGGUGUGGGGGGUCUGACCCCUUCCGUGCCGGAGCUAACGCAAUAAGCAAAUCCACCUGGGGAGUACGACCGCAAGGUUGAAACUCAAAGGAAUGGACGGGGACCCGCACAAGCAGUGGAUUAUGUGGUUUAAUUCGAAGCAACGCGAAGAACCUUACCAGCACUUGACAUCCAACUAACGAAAUAGAGAUAUAUUAGGUGCCCUUCGGGGAAAGUUGAGACAGGUGGUGCAUGGUUGUCGUCAGCUCGUGUCGUGAGAUGUUGGGUUAAGUCCCGCAACGAGCGCAACCCUCGCCAUUAGUUGCUACGCAAGAGCACUCUAAUGGGACCGCUACCGACAAGGUGGAGGAAGGUGGGGACGACGUCAAAUCAUCAUGCCCCUUAUGUGCUGGGCUACACACGUAAUACAAUGGCCAUCAACAGAGAGAAGCAAUACCGCGAGGUGGAGCAAAACUUCAAAAAUGGUCUCAGUUCGGACUGCAGGCUGCAACCCGCCUGCACGAAGUUGGAAUUGCUAGUAAUCGUGGAUCAGCAUGCCACGGUGAAUACGUUCCCGGGUCUUGCAC
rnacentral:rRNA from 1 species